rnacentral:tRNA from 1 species
GCUAAUAUAGUUUAAUAUAGAAUAUUAAUUUGUGGGAUUAAUGGUGUAGUAAUAUUGCUUUUAGCA